GACGAACGCUGGCGGCGUGCUUAACACAUGCAAGUCGAACGGUGAAAGCGGAGCUUGCUCCGCUGGAUCAGUGGCGAACAGGUGAGUAACACGUGGGCAACCUGCCCCUCACUUCGGGAUAACUCCGGGAAACCGGGGCUAAUACCGGAUAUGACCUCCUUGGGCAUCCUUGGAGGUGGAAAGUUUUUCGGUGAGGGAUGGGCCCGCGGCCUAUCAGCUUGUUGGUGAGGUAGUGGCUCACCAAGGCGACGACGGGUAGCCGGCCUGAGAGGGCGACCGGCCACACUGGGACUGCGACACGGCCCAGACUCCUACGGGAGGCAGCAGUGGGGAAUAUUGCGCAAUGGGCGAAAGCCUGACGCAGCAACGCCGCGUGCGGGAUGACGGCCUUCGGGUUGUAAACCGCUUUCAGCAGGGAAGAAGCCGCAAGGUGACGGUACCUGCAGAAGAAGCACCGGCUAACUACGUGCCAGCCGCCGCGGUAA
rnacentral:rRNA from 1 species